rnacentral:rRNA from 1 species
GUUGAAGUUCAGGUAACACUGAAUGGAGGACCGAACCGACUUACGUUGAAAAGUGAGCGGAUGAACUGAGGGUAGCGGAGAAAUUCCAAUCGAACCUGGAGAUAGCUGGUUCUCUCCGAAAUAGCUUUAGGGCUAGCCUCAAGUGAUGAUUAUUGGAGGUAGAGCACUGUUUGGACGAGGGGCCCCUCUCGGGUUACCGAAUUCAGACAAACUCCGAAUGCCAAUUAAUUUAACUUGGGAGUCAGAACAUGGGUGAUAAGGUCCGUGUUCGAAAGGGAAACAGCCCAGACCACCAGCUAAGGUCCCAAAAUAUAUGUUAAGUGGAAAAGGAUGUGGCGUUGCCCAGACAACUAGGAUGUUGGCUUAGAAGCAGCCAUCAUUUAAAGAGUGCGUAAUAGCUCACUAGUCGAGUGACACUGCGCCGAAAAUGUACCGGGGCUAAACAUAUUACCGAAGCUGUGGAUUGUCCUUUGGACAAUGGUAGGAGAGCGUUCUAAGGGCGUUGAAGCAUGAUCGCAAGGACAUGUGGAGCGCUUAGAAGUGAGAAUGCCGGUGUGAGUAGCGAAAGACGGGUGAGAAUCCCGUCCACCGAUUGACUAAGGUUUCCAGAGGAAGGCUCGUCCGCUCUGGGUUAGUCGGGUCCUAAGCUGAGGCCGACAGGCGUAGGCGAUGGAUAACAGGUUGAUAUUCCUGUACCACCUAUAAUCGUUUUAAUCGAUGGGGGGACGCAGUAGGAUAGGCGAAGCGUGCGAUUGGAUUGCACGUCUAAGCAGUAAGGCUGAGUAUUAGGCAAAUCCGGUACUCGUUAAGGCUGAGCUGUGAUGGGGAGAAGACAUUGUGUCUUCG